rnacentral:rRNA from 1 species
UACGUAGGGGGCAAGCGUUGUCCGGAUUUAUUGGGCGUAAAGAGCGUGUAGGCGGCCAGGUAGGUCAGCUGUGAAAACUCGAGGCUCAACCUCGAGACGUCGGUUGAAACCACCUGGCUAGAGUCCGGAAGAGGAGAGUGGAACUCCUGGUGUAGCGGUGGAAUGCGCAGAUAUCAGGAAGAACACCAACGGCGAAGGCAGCUCGCUGGGACGGAACUGACGCUAAGGCGCGAAAGCGUGGGGAGCGAACAGG